CCGCCCUUUCUCCUCCUCUCUCUCAUUUCUCUCUCUAUUCCUCUUUUCUCCCUUCUCUCUAAACGGAACCAACGCCAAAAGCCAUGCAAAGACGAUCGUAUUCCAUCUGUUAACCAACACCAGUGCCGCUGCUCCUCUCUCCACCGCCGGCAGACAUCUCCAAUCGAAGAACUCCUUUCGUUCACCAUCACCUCCUUCAGCCUCCCCCAAAUCCGCCAUGAACCACCGGCGAAUAGCGACACUACUGUUUUCUCUCCUCUACCAGCGCUGCCCUACGGCGCCUCUCCGUUUUCCUCUCCGCCUUCACCCACUAGCCAUCAAAGAAGUGGGAAACUUCAUCGCCGCUCCAGCCCCCUCAGACGCCCCACCUGCCACAACUACGGUCCUUUCAGUCACAUCACUACCCAGCCGCCAGUCACCCGCUGGAGACUCCCAUCCCCCCACUCGUCGUCUCUUCUCUAACCAACAAUGAUGAAAUUAUUCAAGUGCAUGGCGGAUUUACAGGUAGGAUGUGAAUCCGCUUAAGGUUCGUCUUUCUAUUUUAUUUUUUUGUCAAAAAUUUCUUCUACCCUUUUUUUUAGUUUUGAUAGAUCUCAUGAUUAAAUUGGUAUGGAUUGAUUGAGAAUUUUAUCAAUUCUUGUGGAUUUGUGUUUGUUUAGUCAAAUAUACUGUCAUGGUAUUUUGUCGGUCACUUGAAGAAAUUAAUUACGUGAUUUUGACAUGAUUAGUUUGGUUUGAUUACAUGUUCCCAUCCUAAUUGAUUACUCUCUAUAGUCAAAUUCGGAAUGACAGAGUAUUUAGAUGACUUUGUUUGGUGGAAUUUCUCUUUUUGUUUAGCAUACGACAAUCCUUGAUGCUCAAUGUUGGUUCCUUUUCGAAUUUAUUUUAUCUUCUUGUUUAUAGUAGGAAUUCUUUGUUAAUUGAUUAUCUUUAAUUUUCUCUUGUUUCAUUGGCUGAACCUUAUUCUUAAUUGUGUUAGUUGAAAAAGGAAAUUAGAGUGAUUGAUUUUUCCUCUGAUUGAAUAUUAUUAGUUAAUUGAUUUUAUGUUUAGAGAAAAUCUCCUUGACUGGUUACAUCGAAUUCUUUUUUUAUUGCCUUGAUCUUUCUAUUUGUUUCAUUGUCCUUUUUGUCAAUUUUGGUACAAGAGUUGAAUUGUGAUCUUUCUUUAUUGUGGUACAAGAGUUGAAUUGUUCUGCAUUUCUUAUGUUUGCUAAUUUCUACAGCAAGCCAACUAAAAUAUGACUUCUUUUUAGUGUGAACUGUUAAGGGAAAUCGACAGAUGGAUAUGCACUACUCACUAGGAAUAAGAAAUCUUUUUCUUAUAAGAUAGCUAGUUUUAAUUUGCAUUGCAAACCUAAAACAAAACCAGAAAUAGAUUUGAACUUGAGAUGCCAUGGUCUUUGUCCACCCAUAUGUUUUAAGUUAAUAUGCAGUAUUUCAAUUACUCUCCUAUAUUGUUGUUUCUAUCUGUAGUUAGUCUUGAAUAUGUUUUAUUUCCAUCAAUUGUGCAUCAUUAUUUUAGUAAGUGUUAUUUACUUAAGUGACAAUUCAGAAACAGAGAGAGAGAACCCAUAUCCCCUCGCCAGGAGCAACUUCAAUUCAGUUACAUUGUAGCUGUUGUUUCUCGGUAUAUACAUACAACUCUCUUAGCAAUUGAAAG
rnacentral:lncRNA from 1 species